rnacentral:rRNA from 1 species
AGUGAACGCUGGCGGUAGGCCUAACACAUGCAAGUCGAACGGCAGCACAGUAAGAGCUUGCUCUUACGGGUGGCGAGUGGCGGACGGGUGAGGAAUACAUCGGAAUCUACUUUUUCGUGGGGGGUAACGUAGGGAAACUUACGCUAAUACCGCAUACGACCUACGGGUGAAAGCAGGGGAUCUUCGGACCUUGCGCGAUUGAAUGAGCCGAUGUCGGAUUAGCUAGUUGGCGGGGUAAAGGCCCACCAAGGCGACGAUCCGUAGCUGGUCUGAGAGGAUGAUCAGCCACACUGGAACUGAGGCACGGUCCAGACUCCUACGGGAGGCAGCAGCGGGGAAUAUUGGACAAUGGGCGCAAGCCUGAUCCAGCCAUACCGCGUGGGUGAAGAAGGCCUUCGGGUUGUAAAGCCCUUUUGUUGGGAAAGAAAAGCAGCAGGUUAAUACCCCGCUGUUCUGACGGUACCCAAAGAAUAAGCACCGGCUAACUUCGUG